AUCUACAGCCAUACCACCCUGAACGCGCCCGAUCUCUUCUGAUCUCGGAAGCUAAGCAGGGUCAGGCCUAGUUAGUACUUGCAUGGGAGACCGCCUGGAAAUACCAGGUGCUGUAUGCU
rnacentral:rRNA from 1 species